GACGGAGGGUGCUAGCGUUGUUCGGAAUCACUGGGCGUAAAGGGCGCGUAGGCGGCUUCGCAAGUCGGCUGUGAAAGCCCGGGGCUCAACUCCGGAGGUGCAGCCGAGACUGCGGUGCUCGAGGCCGGAAGAGGAGGGUGGAAUACCCAGUGUAGAGGUGAAAUUCGUAGAUAUUGGGUGGAACACCGGUGGCGAAAGCGGCUCUCUGGUCCGGACCUGACGCUGAGGCGCGAAAGCGUGGGGAGCAAACAGG
rnacentral:rRNA from 1 species